CCUGUAAUCGAUAAUCCACGUUAAUUUGACCUAAGUUUGGAAAAUCAGCUUGUAUAUCGCUGUCGUAAGAUUAUUUCAUGAGAAAUUUUUCGAUAAUGAAUGUUUAUUUAUGACAAGUCAAGGUGCAGCAUAUGCUUAGGGUUGAGAUGGGUUACAGUAUGGGAACAUAUAUGGAUCUUUAUUUGUAAAAGUGGAUUGAAGGUGGAUUUAAUUGUAAUAAGGAAAUAUAAUUUCUUUAUG
rnacentral:rRNA from 1 species